rnacentral:rRNA from 1 species
UACGUAGGGGGCGAGCGUUGUCCGGAUUCAUUGGGCGUAAAGCGCUUUAAGGCGGUUCGCUAAGUCGGGUGUGAAACCUCCAGGCUCAACCUGGAGACGCCACUCGAUACUGGCGUGACUAGAGUUCGGUAGGGGACCACGGAAUUCCUGGUGUAGCGGUGAAAUGCGUAGAUAUCAGGAGGAACACCUGCGGUGUAGACGGCUUUCUGGACCAUUGCUGACGCUGAGACACGAAAGCGUGGGUAGCAAACAGG